AGAGAUGUGUGAUGACGCAUAUCAAUAAGCGGAGGAAAAGAAACUAACAAGGAUUCCCUUAGUAACGGCGAGUGAAGCGGGAAGAGCUCAAAUUUGAAAUCUUCAAGGGUUCUACCUUUACGAAUUGUAGUUUAUAGAAGUGUUUUCUGUUAGUAGAGUCGGCUAAAAGUUCUUUGGAAUAGGACAUCAUAGAGGGUGAGAAUCCCGUAUUUGACCAUUAUCUUCCAGCUGUGUGAUACACUUUCAAAGAGUCGGAUUGUUUGGGAAUGCAGUCCAAAAUGGGUGGUAAAUUUCAUCUAAAGCUAAAUAUUGGCGAGAGACCGAUAGCGAACAAGUACCGUGAGGGAAAGAUGAAAAGAACUUUGAAAAGAGAGUUAAACAGUACGUGAAAUUGUCAAAAGGGAAGCGUUUGACACCAGUGUUGUUUUCUCGAAAAUCAAUUAAAAAGAUGCCGAUUUUGUGUUGUAUUGACUUUAUCAGCUUUCUGCACUUUUUUCUUGUCUUUUUUAAUGCACUUUUCGUUUAACAAGUCAACAUCAAUUUCUUUUGUUGUAAAAGAGUCAUUGGAAGGUGGCUUUCAUUUCGGUGAAAGUGUUUAUAGCCUUUGACUUCUGCAAUCGGAGAGAUUGAGGUCUGCAGCGUAGAUCCUUCGGGGUUAGAUACAUUUGUGCUAAGUUAUAGUUUUUCAUAGACAACAUGUUGACUAUGAUUAAUCAUGUAGCUUACUCGCUUAUGCUAUUUUACCUACGCUUAGGAUGUUGAUAGUCACAGCGUGUAC
rnacentral:rRNA from 1 species